rnacentral:rRNA from 1 species
AGAGUUUGAUCCUGGCUCAGAUUGAACGCUGGCGGCAUGCCUAACACAUGCAAGUCGAGCGGCAGCGCGGGGGCAACCCUGGCGGCGAGCGGCGGACGGGUGAGUAAGGCAUCGGAAUCUGCCCUGAUGUGGGGGAUAACGUAGGGAAAGUUGUGCUAAUACCGCAUAAGCUCUGAGGAGGAAAGCGGGGGACCGAAAGGCCUCGCGCUGAAGGAGCGGCCGAUGUCCGAUUAGCUAGUUGGUUAGGUAAAGGCCUACCAAGGCGACGAUCAUUAGCUGGUCUGAGAGGAUGAUCAGCCAGACUGGGACUGAGAACGGCCCAGACUCCUACGGGAGGCGAC